rnacentral:rRNA from 1 species
GACGAACCGUGCGAACGUUAUUCGGAAUCACUGGGCUUAAAGGGCGCGUAGGCGGGCCGCCAAGUCAGGGGUGAAAUCCCACGGCUCAACCGUGGAAGUGCCUUUGAUACUGGCGCCUCGAGGGAGGCAGGGGCGUGCGGAACUUUGGGUGGAGCGGUGAAAUGCGUAGAUAUCCAAAGGAACACCGGUGGCGAAAGCGGCGCGCUGGACCUCUUCUGACGCUGAGGCGCGAAAGCCAGGGGAGCAAACGGG